AAACCAACAGGGAUUGCCUUAGUAACUGCGAGUGAAGCGGCAAGAGCUCAAAUUUGAAAUCUGGCACCUUUGGUGUCCGAGUUGUAAUUUGUAGAAGCAGCUUUUGAAUUGGUCCUUGCAUAUGUUCCUUGGAACAGGACAUCAUAGAGGGUGAGAAUCCCGUUCAUGGUGGGGAAUUUCAAUUCUUUGUAAAGCGCUUUCGAAGAGUCGAGUUGUUUGGGAAUGCAGCUCUAAGCGGGUGGUAAAUUCCAUCUAAAGCUAAAUAUUGGCGAGAGACCGAUAGCGAACAAGUACAGUGAUGGAAAGAUGAAAAGUACUCCGAAAGGAGAGUGAAAAAGGACGUGAAAUUGUUGAAAGGGAAGUGCUUGAGAUCAGUCUUAAGAUUUAACGAUCAAUCUUCCUUUUUUGGUUGAUGCACUCGUUUUUUCUUAGGCCAGCAUCAGUUUUUGUGGCAGGAUAAUGACAUUGGAAUGUGGCUCUUUCGGGAGUGUUAUAGACUUUGUUGAUACUGCUUGCUUAGACUGAGGACCGCGCUUUUUUGCUAGGAUGCUGGCAUAAUGAUCUUAAUCAGC
rnacentral:rRNA from 1 species